UACGAAGGGGGCGAGCGUUGUUCGGAUUUACUGGGCGUAAAGGGCGCGUAGGCGGCCGAUCAAGUCAGGCGUGAAAGCCCCGGGCUCAACCUGGGAAUUGCGCUUGGGACUGGUUGGCUUGAGUUCGGGAGAGGAGCGUGGAAUUCCCAGUGUAGAGGUGAAAUUCGUAGAUAUUGGGAAGAACACCGGUGGCGAAGGCGGCGCUCUGGACCGAGACUGACGCUGAGGCGCGAAAGCAUGGGGAGCAAACAGG
rnacentral:rRNA from 1 species